rnacentral:rRNA from 1 species
UGGGGAAUUUUGGACAAUGGGGGCAACCCUGAUCCAGCAAUGCCGCGUGUGUGAAGAAGGCCUUCGGGUUGUAAAGCACUUUUGUCCGGAAAGAAAACUUCGGGGCUAAUACCCCUGGAGGAUGACGGUACCGGAAGAAUAAGCACCGGCUGACUACGUGCCAGCAGCCGCGGUAAUACGUAGGGUGCGAGCGUUAAUCGGAAUUACUGGGCGUAAAGCGUGCGCAGGCGGUGCUGUAAGACCGAUGUGAAAUCCCCGGGCUUAACCUGGGAACUGCAUUGGUGACUGCAGCGCUGGAGUAUGGCAGAGGGGGGUGGAAUUCCACGUGUAGCAGUGAAAUGCGUAGAGAUGUGGAGGAACACCGAUGGCGAAGGCAGCCCCCUGGGCCAAUACUGACGCUCAUGCACGAAAGCGUGGGGAGCAAACAGG